UACGGGGGGGGCAAGCGUUGUUCGGAAUUACUGGGCGUAAAGGGCUCGUAGGCGGCCAACUAAGUCAGACGUGAAAUCCCUCGGCUUAACCGGGGAACUGCGUCUGAUACUGGGUGGCUUGAAUCCGGGAGAGGGAUGCGGAAUUCCAGGUGUAGCGGUGAAAUGCGUAGAUAUCUGGAGGAACACCGGUGGCGAAGGCGGCAUCCUGGACCGGUAUUGACGCUGAGGAGCGAAAGCCAGGGGAGCGAACGGG
rnacentral:rRNA from 1 species